rnacentral:lncRNA from 1 species
GAAGGUAAUGGCGUCAAGUUGAUUGGGUGAAUCAAAAUUUAAGGGCUACAAGAUGUUAUAAAAAAGACCAAAUAGGAAAGUGUUAAAAUUUCAAGCUCAUUGUGGACUGUAAGGUGAUUCAAAUCUGGGACUACCAUUGGGUUGCAGGUGUGGAUGAAAGGGAAGGAAAAAACUAAUCAUGGCGGAGUGGUGGCAUACACGCGUGGAGCUAAAAGGUGAGGCACGCAGGCAGGCACCUACCAAUCGAGUUUCAGAUCCAGAUGAAAAGAUGCAGAAAUGAUAGCUUUAUCGGCGAAAUCGUUGUUGGAGACGAACUGAUUCGUGUGGGAGAUUUGUGGCAAGGGGUUUCAGAGAGAUCUGAAUUUGCAGCUUCAUAGAAGAGGUCAUAACUUACCAUGGAAGCUUAAGCAACAAAACAAACAUGAAGUUGCCAGGAAGAAGGUUUAUAUAUGUCUGGAAAUAAGUUGUGUUGGUCAUGAUCCGGCUUGAGCUCUAUCUUACCGGAGUUAAGAAACAUAAAUGGAAGUGUGGAAAUAGUUCCAAGUAGUAUGCAGUUCAGUUGGUUUGGAAAGCCCAAAGCAAGAUUUGUGUUACUAGAUAGUAUAAGUGUAAUUGUGGAGCAUUGUUUUUAAGGUAUGUAUUGUCUUCGAAUAUAUGUUGUAGUAAUUGGUUGUGGUUAGAUUUUUAGAUUAGAGUACUUUAUGUUGUGGUGAAUUGGAUUAGAGGAGGUAGUUAUUGUUGUUGUCAAUAGUAAAAGUUGAAGGACAAUAGAACCAAAUCGACUUACUUGCGUU